rnacentral:rRNA from 1 species
GACGAACGCUGGCGGCGUGCUUAACACAUGCAAGUCGAGCGGGAAACUUCGGUUUCCAGCGGCGGACGGGUGAGUAACACGUGGGCAACCUGCCUCACAAUGAGGAUAGCCCUCCGAAAGGAGGAUUAAUACCUCAUAACACAAGAGAAACGCAUGUUUCUCUUGCCAAAGAAUUUCGUUGUGAGAUGGGCCCGCGGCGCAUUAGCUUGUUGGUGAGGUAACGGCUCACCAAGGCUUCGAUGCGUAGCCGACCUGAGAGGGUGAUCGGCCACAUUGGAACUGAGACACGGUCCAGACUCCUACGGGAGGCAGCAGUGGGGAAUAUUGCACAAUGGAGGAAACUCUGAUGCAGCAACGCCGCGUGAGUGAUGAAGGUCUUCGGAUUGUAAAGCUCUGUCUUCUGGGACGAUAAUGACGGUACCAGAGGAGGAAGCCACGGCUAACUACGUGCCAGCCGCCGCAGUAAAAC